GCCUCUUUUUUGGAGGAUACCCUCGAAAUAUAAAAAAAAAGAAGUAUCUGUUCUUAUCAGCUUAAUAUCUGAUACGUCCUCCAUUGGGGGACAUCGAUAUUAAACUGAUUUUUGAAAGGGGGUGAGGUGCCCGGGGCUUGCUCCGCCCUCACCACGGGUUGACCCGGUAUUGCAGUACUUCCGGGAAUGGCCCACCACUA
rnacentral:snRNA from 1 species